rnacentral:rRNA from 1 species
UACGUAGGUGGCGAGCGUUAUCCGGAAUGAUUGGGCGUAAAGGGUGCGUAGGCGGCCUGCUAAGUCUGGAGUGAAAGGUACCGGCUCAACCGGUACAGGCUCUGGAAACUGGCGGGCUAGAGAGCAGGAGAGGGCGGUGGAACUCCAUGUGUAGCGGUAAAAUGCAUAGAUAUCACGCAGAACUCCGAUCGCGAAGGCAGCCUACCGGCGCGCAACUGACGCUCAUGCACGAAAGCGUGGGUAUCGAACAGG